CUGACGUUAGCGGCGGACGGGUGAGUAACACGUGGGUAACCUACCUAUAAGACUGGGAUAACUCCGGGAAACCGGGGCUAAUACCGGAUAAUACAUGAAACCGCAUGGUUUAAUGAUGAAAGACGGUUUUGCUGUCACUUAUAGAUGGACCCGCGGCGUAUUAGCUAGUUGGUAAGGUAACGGCUUACCAAGGCAACGAUACGUAGCCGACCUGAGAGGGUGAUCGGCCACACUGGAACUGAGACACGGUCCAGACUCCUACGGGAGGCAGCAGCC
rnacentral:rRNA from 1 species